rnacentral:rRNA from 1 species
UACGUAGGUGGCAAGCGAUACUCGGAAUCUCUAGGCGUAAAGCGCAGGUAGGAGGUUUAGUAAGUCUGUUGUGACAGCUCCCGGCUUAACUGGGAGAGGACAACGGAAACUGCUAGGCUAGAGUGCGGUAGAGGUAGCUGGAAUUCCCGGUGUAGCGGUGAAAUGCGUAGAUAUCGGGAGGAAUACCUAUGGCGAAAGCAGGCUACUGGACCGUCACUGACUCUGAUCUGCGAAAGCUAGGGGAGCAAACAGG